AAUGCUUUUAGAUUUGUUCCCUAUGCAUGAUGGAUUGGUUUAGAUCAUUCAAAUGGAAAUCAUUUGGGUUUUAAAGAAUUGGACUUUAACUAUAUUGAUUUCCAUCCCAUUCUGCUAUUUGCUAGUCAGAUUCAUAGUUGUCUCAACAUCUUCUCUCAGUCACUUAAGACAGUCUUUCUAAUCUUAACUGAUGGACCCAAUUAUAAAGGGUCCAAGAUUGACAGUUCCUGGGAACGGUAACCCUGUUAACCUAAAAAGUAUCUGAAUGCUGAAGUACAAAGCAGAAAUUCAAGCCUCUUCAUUUUCCUGGGCAGAACUAAGAAAAAAGAGAGCUUUUUUCCCCUCUAACAACUUUGACCAUUAAGUGUCCCUGUCCUCUAGACUGUUGUAGAAAGACACUGCCUUGUUGUCUUAAUCAGAGCCUAUGGGGGAAACUAUAUCCUUGCUUAAAUCUGAACCAAUUUGGAAGCUGUAUCAUUGGAGAUCACAUCUUUUCAAGAUGCAGGAUACAUUAGUGCUGCCCCCAGGCUAUAUGAUUACUUACUACUCUAAGGACUAUUGGCUUGUUGAGUAACACUUCAGUUUAAGUUAUUGUAUUUCAAUAAAAGUGGCAACCUUGGUCUUUAAACCAAA